UGGCGCACGGGUGANUAANGCGUAAAUAACUCUACCCCUGCAUUUGGGAUAACCCACCGUAAAGGUGUGCUAAUACCGGAUACGUUUCUUUAUGUUGCGAGACGUAGAGAAGAAAGGUGGCCUCUGAUACAAGCUACUGUGCGGGGAGGAGUUUGCGUACCAUUAGCUAGUUGGUAGGGNAAAGGCCUACCAAGGCGACGAUGGUUAGCGGGUCUGAGAGGAUGAUCCGCCACACUGGAACUGGAACACGGACCANACUCCUACGGGAGGCAGCAGUGAGGANUAUUGCGCAAUGGGGGCAACCCUGACGCAGCGACGCCGCGUGGAUGAUGAAGGCCUUCGGGUCNUANAAUCCUGUCAGAUGGAAAGAAGUGUAUAUGUGUUAACAGCGCAUAUAUUUGACGGNNCCNUCAAAGGAAGCACCGGCUAACUCCGUGCCAGCNGCCGCGGUAAUACGGAGGGUGCAAGCGUUGUUCGGAAUUANUGGGCGUAAAGCGCGCGUANGUGGUUUGUUAUGUCAGAUGCNAAAGUCCACGGCUCAUCCGUGGAAGUGCAUUU
rnacentral:rRNA from 1 species